rnacentral:rRNA from 1 species
UACAGGGGGUGCAAACGUUGCUCGGAAUCAUUGGGCGUAAAGGGCUCGUAGGCGGUCUGUUGCGUCGGGAGUGAAAACUUACAGCUUAACUGUGAGCGUGCUUUCGAUACGGGCAGACUUGAGGCAUUCAGGGGAGAACGGAAUUCCUGGUGUAGCGGUGAAAUGCGCAGAUAUCAGGAGGAACACCGGUGGCGAAGGCGGUUCUCUGGGAAUGUCCUGACGCUGAGGAGCGAAAGUGUGGGGAGCGAACAGG